rnacentral:rRNA from 1 species
GCAUAUCAAUAAGCGGAGGAAAAGAAACCAACAGGGAUUGCCUCAGUAACGGCGAGUGAAGCGGCAAAAGCUCAAAUUUGAAACCCUCGGGAUUGUAAUUUGAAGAUUUGGCAUUGGAGAAAGCUAACCCAAGUUGCUUGGAAUAGUACGUCAUAGAGGGUGACAACCCCGUCUGGCUAACCGUUCUCCAUGUAUUGCCUUAUCAAAGAGUCGAGUUGUUUGGGAAUGCAGCUCAAAGUGGGUGGUAAACUCCAUCUAAAGCUAAAUACUGGUGAGAGACCGAUAGCGAACAAGUACUGUGAAGGAAAGGUGAAAAGAACUUUGAAAAGAGAGUGAAAUAGUAUGUGAAAUUGUUGAUAGGGAAGGAAAUGAGUGGAGAGUGGCCGAGGUUUCAGCCGCCCCUCGUGGGCGGUGUACUGCCGACGCCGAGUCAUCGAUAGCGAGACGAGGGUUACAAAUGGGAGCGCCUUUCGGGCGUUCUCCCCUAACCCUCCACACUGCCACCGACGACAUAAUCCACCCAUUUCACCCGUCUUGAAACACGGACC